rnacentral:rRNA from 1 species
CGGAGCGGUAGCACAGAGAGCUUGCUCUCGGGUGACGAGCGGCGGACGGGUGAGUAAUGUCUGGGAAACUGCCUGAUGGAGGGGGAUAACUACUGGAAACGGUAGCUAAUACCGCAUAAUGUCGCAAGACCAAAGUGGGGGACCUUCGGGCCUCAUGCCAUCAGAUGUGCCCAGAUGGGAUUAGCUAGUAGGUGGGGUAACGGCUCACCUAGGCGACGAUCCCUAGCUGGUCUGAGAGGAUGACCAGCCACACUGGAACUGAGACACGGUCCAGACUCCUACGGGAGGCAGCAGUGGGGAAUAUUGCACAAUGGGCGCAAGCCUGAUGCAGCCAUGCCGCGUGUAUGAAGAAGGCCUUCGGGUUGUAAAGUACUUUCAGCGGGGAGGAAGGCGAUAAGGUUAAUAACCUUGUCGAUUGACGUUACCCGCAGAAGAAGCACCGGCUAACUCCGUGCCAGCAGCCGCGGUAAUACGGAGGGUGCAAGCGUUAAUCGGAAUUACUGGGCGUAAAGCGCACGCAGGCGGUCUGUCAAGUCGGAUGUGAAAUCCCCGGGCUCAACCUGGGAACUGCAUUCGAAACUGGCAGGCUAGAGUCUUGUAGAGGGGGGUAGAAUUCCAGGUGUAGCGGUGAAAUGCGUAGAGAUCUGGAGGAAUACCGGUGGCGAAGGCGGCCCCCUGGACAAAGACUGACGCUCAGGUGCGAAAGCGUGGGGAGCAAACAGGAUUAGAUACCCUGGUAGUCCACGCCGUAAACGAUGUCGAUUUGGAGGUUGUGCCCUUGAGGCGUGGCUUCCGGAGCUAACGCGUUAAAUCGACCGCCUGGGGAGUACGGCCGCAAGGUUAAAACUCAAAUGAAUUGACGGGGGCCCGCACAAGCGGUGGAGCAUGUGGUUUAAUUCGAUGCAACGCGAAGAACCUUACCUGGUCUUGACAUCCACAGAACUUACCAGAGAUGGUUUGGUGCCUUCGGGAACUGUGAGACAGGUGCUGCAUGGCUGUCGUCAGCUCGUGUUGUGAAAUGUUGGGUUAAGUCCCGCAACGAGCGCAACCCUUAUCCUUUGUUGCCAGCGGUUCGGCCGGGAACUCAAAGGAGACUGCCAGUGAUAAACUGGAGGAAGGUGGGGAUGACGUCAAGUCAUCAUGGCCCUUACGACCAGGGCUACACACGUGCUACAAUGGCAUAUACAAAGAGAAGCGACCUCGCGAGAGCAAGCGGACCUCAUAAAGUAUGUCGUAGUCCGGAUUGGAGUCUGCAACUCGACUCCAUGAAGUCGGAAUCGCUAGUAAUCGUAGAUCAGAAUGCUACGGUGAAUACGUUCCCGGGCCUUGUACACACCGCCCGUCACACCAUGGGAGUGGGUUGCAAAAGAAGUAGGUAGCUUAACCU